GAAAAUAAUGUUAGCUAGACCUAUAGUAGGCUAGUUCUGUCGUGAUAAUAAUGUUAUCUAGACCUAGUAGUAGGCUAGUUCUGUUGUGAUAAUAAUGUUGGCUAGACCUACUAGUAGGCUAGUUCUGUCGUGAUAAUAAUGUUAGCUAGACCUAUAGUAGGCUAGUUCUGUUGUAAUAAUAAUGUUAGUUAGACCUACUAGUAGGCUAGUUCUGUUGUGAUAAUAAUGUUAGCUAGACCUAUAGUAGUCUAGUUCUGUUGUAAUAAUAAUGUUAGCUAGACCUAUAGUAGGUUAAUUCUGUUGUGAUAAUAAUGUUAGCUAGACCUACUAGUAGGUUAGUUCUGUUGUGAUAAUAACAUUAGUUGUGUUGAGUUGAUGAAGGCCCAGGCCAUCCACCAAGUCAAUAACUAUAACUAUAAUGAUUAAAUAGGCUCCAUAACUAUAAAACGUCGGUGAGCAUCCACGCUAGAGGAAAGUUUAUUGUUUAUCGUCCUACACCUGUCAAUCAACCAAUCAACCCAACCUAGCCUACUACACACUGUCUAUUAAUAAGGUGGUAACACAAGACCAUUCAUGAGGUCUCCAACACACAGAUACUGGUUCAGACCAUCCAUGAGGUCUCUAACACACAGAUACUGGUUCAGACCAUUCAUGAGGUCUCUAACACACAGAUACUGGUUCAGACCAUUCAUGAGGUCUCUAACACACAGAUACUGGUUCAGACCAUUCAUGAGGUCUCUAACACACUGGUUCAGUCCAUUCAUGAGGUCUCUAACACACAGAUACUGGUUCAGACCAUUCAUGAGGUCUCUAACACACAGAUACUGGUUCAGACCAUUCAUGAGGUCUCUAACACACUGGUUCAGUCCAUUCAUGAGGUCUCUAACACACAGAUACGUGUUCAGACCAUUCAGUGCUUUCAGGGUGUGUUCAUUGUCAUAGUGACAACUGCAAAUAAUACUUCAAUGUACAUGUAGGCCUAAUGAAGAAGAAUACAGUAACUGGUAUUCAAAUGUAGGGAUUCAACAACAAACACUGUUUAGCCUUUACAUAUUUUACAGUAUGUCAUUGCAUCUCCAUGUCUGUCCUGUGUAACUAUUUGCAAAUGCAGUGCAACAAUGUUGUCAUAACAGGACAAAAGUGAUCACACCAAUGCGCUUUCUCUCCUAAACUUUCCCCAACAUGCA
rnacentral:lncRNA from 13 species